rnacentral:rRNA from 1 species
AUUGAACGCUGGCGGCAUGCUUUACACAUGCAAGUCGAACGGUAACAGGCCUUCGGGUGCUGACGAGUGGCGAACGGGUGAGUAAUGCAUCGGAACGUACCCAGAGGUGGGGGAUAACGCAGCGAAAGCUGUGCUAAUACCGCAUGUGAUCUGAGGAUGAAAGCGGGGGACCGAGCAGCAAUGUUUGGCCUCGCGCCUUUGGAGCGGCCGAUGUCGGAUUAGCUAGUUGGUGGGGUAAAGGCCUACCAAGGCGACGAUCCGUAGCUGGUCCGAGAGGACGACCAGCCACACUGGGACUGAGACACGGCCCAGACUCCUACGGGAGGCAGCAGUGGGGAAUUUUGGACAAAGGGCGCAAGCCUGAUCCAGCAAUGCCGCGUGCGGGAAGAAGGCCUUCGGGUUGUAAACCGCUUUUGGCAGGAACGAAACGGUGUCCGCUAAUACCGAGCGCUAAUGACGGUACCUGCAGAAUAAGCACCGGCUAACUACGUG